UUCCGGUUGAUCCCGCCAGACUGACUGCUAUCGGAUUGAUACUAAGCCAUGCGAGUCAUUGUAGCAAUACAAGGCAGACGGCUCAGUAACGCGUAGUCAAUCUAACCUAUGGACGGGAAUAACCUCGGGAAACUGAGAAUAAUGCCCGAUAGAACACUAUGCCUGGAAUGGUUUGUGUUUCAAAUGAUUUAUCGCCAUAGGAUGGGACUGCGGCCUAUCAGUUUGUUGGUGAGGUAAUGGCCCACCAAGACUAUUACAGGUACGGGCUCUGAGAGGAGUAGCCCGGAGAUGGGUACUGAGACACGGACCCAGGCCCUAUGGGGCGCAGCAGGCGAGAAAACUUUGCAAUGUGCGAAAGCACGACAAGGUUAAUCCGAGUGGUUUGUGCUAAACAGACCUUUUGUUAGUCCUAGAAACACUAACGAAUAAGGGGUGGGCAAGUUCUGGUGUCAGCCGCCGCGGUAAAACCAGCACCUCAAGUGGUCAGGAUGAUUAUUGGGCCUAAAGCAUCCGUAGCCGGCUCAGUAAGUUUUCGGUUAAAUCUGUAUGCUCAACAUACAGGCUGCCGGGAAUACUGCAGAGCUAGGGAGUGGGAGAGGUAGACGGUACUCGGUAGGAAGGGGUAAAAUCCUUUGAUCUAUUGAUGACCACCUGUGGCGAAGGCGGUCUACCGGAACACGUCCGACGGUGAGGGAUGAAAGCUGGGGGAGCAAACCGGAUUAGAUACCCGGGUAGUCCCAGCUGUAAACUAUGCAAACUCAGUGAUGCAUUGGCUUGUGGCUAAUGCAGUGCUGCAGGGAAGCCGUUAAGUUUGCCGCCUGGGAAGUACGUACGCAAGUAUGAAACUUAAAGGAAUUGGCGGGGGAGCACCACAAGGGGUGAAGCCUGCGGUUCAAUUGGAUUCAACGCCGGG
rnacentral:rRNA from 1 species